AUGGAUUUUCUAGCAGCUAUCAGUUAUUUCUCUUUCUCCUUUUUUAAUGUUCACAUUGUGUAUGCAAGAGGCGGUUGGUGUGAAGUGGAAGAGGGUCUUCUAUGCAUUUCAUUGGAGAAAAUUACAGGGGCUUUAUUAUGCGUGAAAGUUAAAAGGAAGCAAAGAAGUUCUCUUAUAAUCAUGUGUAUUCGCCGUUUGAAGAUUGAAGUUUUGAGCAAGGAUAAGAACUCUUUUAUGACAUCUGUCUGCAAAUAUCACUGCAGUAUUGAAGCAAGCAGGUUGAAGAGGAUAUCAGGAUAUCCUAAAGUAUAG